rnacentral:piRNA from 1 species
UAGAAGGACAAUGUGACUUCCCUAUGCACC